CCUACGGGUGGCAGCAGUGGGGAAUAUUGCACAAUGGGCGCAAGCCUGAUGCAGCCAUGCCGCGUGUGUGGAGAAGGCCUUCGGGUUGUAAAGCACUUUCAGCGGGGAGGAAGGCGGUGAGGUUAAUAACCUCAUCGAUUGACGUUACCCGCAGAAGAAGCACCGGCUAACUCCGUGCCAGCAGCCGCGGUAAUACGGAGGGUGCAAGCGUUAAUCGGAAUUACUGGGCGUAAAGCGCCCGCAGGCGGUCUGUCAAGUCGGAUGUGAAAUCCCCGGGCUCAACCUGGGAACUGCAUUCGAAACUGGCAGGCUAGAGUCUUGUAGAGGGGAGUAGAACUCCAGGUGUAGCGGUGAAAUGCGUAGAGAUCUGGAGGAAUACCGGUGGCGAAGGCGGCCCCCUGGACAAAGACUGACGCUCAGGUGCGAAAGCGUGGGGAGCAAACAGGAUUAGAUACCCGUGUAGUC
rnacentral:rRNA from 1 species